rnacentral:rRNA from 1 species
UACGUAGGGACCGAGCGUUGUCCGGAAUCAUUGGGCGUAAAGAGCGUGUAGGCGGCUCGCUAAGUCUUGCGUGAAAUCUCGGGGCUCAACCCCGAGCGGUCGUGAGAAACUGGCGGGCUAGAGUGCGGGAGAGGAGAGUGGAAUUCCUGGUGUAGCGGUGAAAUGCGCAGAUAUCAGGAAGAACACCCGUGGCGAAGGCGGCUCUCUGGAACGCAACUGACGCUGAGACGCGAAAGCGUGGGUAGCAAACAGG